rnacentral:rRNA from 1 species
ACAUUUCUUUAAGAUUUAUAUUUAAGGUAGGUUCUGCCCUAUGAUUUGGAUCUAAAUUUAAAUGGCUGCAGUAUCUUGACUGUGCAAAGGUAGCAUAAUAAUUAGUUUCUUAAUUAGGGACUUGUAUGAAUGAAUUAAUGAGAUAUUUAUUUUAUUAUGAUUAUAUUUAUAAUUUAAAUUUUAAGUCAAAAUGCUUAAUUUUAUUAUCGGGACGAUAAGACCCUAUAGAACUUUUAAUUAGUUUUUAUUUGUUAUUAUUUAGUUUUUAUAAUUAAAGUAUAAAUUUAUUUUUUACUGGGGUGGUGAAUAAAUAUAAACUUUAUUUUUUUUUAUCAUUUUAUUUAUGUUUAUUUUGAUCCAUUAAUUGUGAUUAUAAGAUUAAGUUACCUUAGGGAUAACAGCGUAAUUUUAAUGGAAAGUUCAUAUUUAUAUUAAAGUUUGCGACCUCGAUGUUGAAUUAAGAUAAAAUUAAGGGGUAGGUUCUUUAAUAUUAGGUCUGUUCGACCUUUAAAUUCUUACAUGAUCUG